rnacentral:rRNA from 1 species
AGUGAACGCUGGCGGCGUGCUUAACACAUGCAAGUCGAACGAGAACGGAUUAUAGCUUGCUAUAAUUGUCAGCUAAGUGGCGCACGGGUGAGUAAUAUAUAGGUAAUGUGCCCUAGAGAAGAGGAUAACAGUUGGAAACGACUGCUAAGACUCUAUAUGCCUUUAAGACAGAAGUCUGCAAGGGAAAUAUUUAUAGCUCUAGGAUCAGCCUGUACAGUAUCAGUUAGUUGGUGAGGUAAUGGCUCACCAAGACAAUGACACUUAACUGGUUUGAGAGGAUGAUCAGUCACACUGGAACUGAGACACGGUCCAGACUCCUACGGGAGGCAGCAGUGGGGGAAUAUUGCACAAUGGACGAAAGUCUGAUGCAGCAACGCCGCGUGGAGGAUGACACAUUUCGGUGCGUAAACUCCUUUUAUAUGGGAAGAUAAUGACGGUACCAUAUGAAUAAGCACCGGCUAACUCCG